UACGUAGGGUGCGAGCGUUAAUCGGAAUUACUGGGCGUAAAGCGUGCGCAGGCGGUUCGCUGUGUCCGAUGUGAAAGCCCCGGGCUUAACCUGGGAAUGGCAUUGGAAACUGGCGGGCUUGAGUGCGGCAGAGGGGGGUGGAAUUCCGCGUGUAGCAGUGAAAUGCGUAGAGAUGCGGAGGAACACCGAUGGCGAAGGCAGCCCCCUGGGUCGACACUGACGCUCAGGCACGAAAGCGUGGGGAGCAAACAGG
rnacentral:rRNA from 1 species